rnacentral:rRNA from 1 species
UGCAAGUCGACGGUAAGGCCCCUUCGGGGGUACACGAGUGGCGAACGGGUGAGUAACACGUGAGCAACCUGCCCUUGACUCUGGAAUAACAGUUGGAAACAGCUGCUAAUACCGGAUAUGACUCCGUGCGUCAUCGUGCGGGGUGGAAAGUUUUGGCGGUCAGGGAUGGGCUCGCGGCCUAUCAGCUUGUUGGUGAGGUAACGGCUCACCAAGGCUUCGACGGGUAGCCGGCCUGAGAGGGCGACCGGCCACACUGGGACUGAGAUACGGCCCAGACUCCUACGGGAGGCAGCAGUGGGGAAUAUUGCACAAUGGGCGAAAGCCUGAUGCAGCAACGCCGCGUGCGGGAUGACGGCCUUCGGGUUGUAAACCGCUUUCAGUAGGGACGAAGCGAAAGUGACGGUACCUACAGAAGAAGGACCGGCUAACUACGUGCCAGCAGCCGCGGUGAUACGUAGGGUCCAAGCGUUGUCCGGAAUUAUUGGGCGUAAAGGGCUUGUAGGCGGUCCGUCGCGUCAGAAGUGAAAACUCAGGGCUUAACCCUGAGCCUGCUUUUGAUACGGGCGGACUAGAGGGAUGCAGGGGAGAACGGAAUUCCUGGUGGAGCGGUGGAAUGCGCAGAUAUCAGGAGGAACACCGGUGGCGAAGGCGGUUCUCUGGGCAUUACCUGACGCUGAGAAGCGAAAGCGUGGGGAGCAAACAGGCUUAGAUACCCUGGUAGUCCACGCCGUAAACGGUGGGCACUAGGUGUGGGGACAUUCCACGUUCUCCGUGCCGAAGCUAACGCAUUAAGUGCCCCGCUUGGGAGUACGCCGCAGCUAAAACUCAAAGGAAUUGACGGGGGCCC